rnacentral:rRNA from 1 species
UACGAAGGGUGCAAGCGUUAAUCGGAAUUACUGGGCGUAAAGCGUGCGUAGGCGGUUUGUUAAGUCUGUUGUGAAAGCCCUGGGCUCAACCUGGGAAUGGCAAUGGAAACUGGCGAGCUAGAGUCAGGUAGAGGGUGGUGGAAUUCCCGGUGUAGCGGUGAAAUGCGUAGAGAUCGGGAGGAACAUCUGUGGCGAAGGCGGCCACCUGGACCAUGACUGACGCUGAGGCACGAAAGCGUGGGGAGCAAACAGG